UAAUACGGGGGGAGCAAGCGUUGUUCGGAUUUACUGGGCGUAAAGGGCGCGUAGGCGGCCUCCGCAAGUCAAUUGUGAAAUCUCCGGGCUUAACUCGGAAAGGUCAACUGAUACUGCGGGGCUAGAGUGCGGAAGGGGCAACUGGAAUUCUUGGUGUAGCGGUGAAAUGCGUAGAUAUCAAGAGGAACACCUGCGGCGAAGGCGGGUUGCUGGGCCGACACUGACGCUGAGGCGCG
rnacentral:rRNA from 1 species